rnacentral:rRNA from 1 species
CCUUCAGGCCGAAUAUCUAAGGUUUCCAGAGUAAAGCUGAUCUGCUCUGGGUAAGUCGGGACCUAAGGCGAGGUCGAAAGACGUAGUCGAUGGAUAACAGGUUGAAAUUCCUGUACCGCAUAUAAACAGAACUGUGGGGACACAGACAGGGAAUGGAAUCCGGGGAUGGAGAACCCGGAGCAAGCGAGGUAGGAGUGCUGUUGGCAAAUCCGCAGCACGAUCUGAAGACGUGAUGCGUACCGAACAUAAGUAGGGAAGUCCAGGCCCCUGGCUGUCAAGAAAAGCCGCUAUUGUUUUAUAUGUGCCCGUACCGCAAACCGACACAGGUGGAUGAGGAGAGAAUCCUAAGGCCGACGGGAGAAGUAUUGUUAAGGAACUCGGCAAAAUGACUCCGUAACCUCGGGAGAAGGAGUGCCAUGAGAGUGGCCGCAGAGAAAUGGCCCAAGCAACUGUUUAGCAAAAACACAGGUCUAUGCAAAACCGUAAGGUGAAGUAUAUGGGCUGACGCCUGCCCGGUGCUGGAAGGUUAAGGGGAGAGGUUAGCGCAAGCGAAGCUUUGAGCUUAAGCCCCAGUAAACGGCGGCCGUAACGAUAACGGUCCUAAGGUAGCGAAAUUCCUUGUCGGGUAAGUUCCGACCCGCACGAAAGGCGUAAUGAUUUGGGCACUGUCUCAACGAUACACCCGGUGAAAUUGAAAUACCAGUGAAGAUGCUGGUUACCUGCGCCAGGACGGAAAGACCCCAUGGAGCUUUACUCCAGUUUGAUACUGGGAUUCGGCAUGGUAUGUACAGGAUAGGUGGGAGACUGAGAAGGUAUGACGUCAGUUGUACCGGAGUCGCUGUUGGGAUACCACCCUUACCAUGUUGGAUUUCUAACCUGUGGCCGUGAACCGGUCAGGGGACAAUGUCAGGCGGGGAGUUUGACUGGGGCGGUCGCCUCCGAAAGGGUAUCGGAGGCGCUCAAAGGUUCCCUCAGAAUGGUUGGAAACCAUUCGAAGAGUGCAAAGGCAGAAGGGAGCUUGACUGUGACACCGACGGGUGGAGCAGGUACGAAAGUAGGACUUAGUGAUCCGGUGGUAUAAAGUGGGAUUGCCAUCGCUCAACGGAUAAAAGCUACCCUGGGGAUAACAGGCUUAUCACUCCCAAGAGUUCACAUCGACGGAGUGGUUUGGCACCUCGAUGUCGGCUCAUCGCAUCCUGGAGCUGUAGCAGGUUCCAAGGGUUGGGCUGUUCGCCCAUUAAAGCGGUACGCGAGCUGGGUUCAGAACGUCGUGAGACAGUUCGGUCCCUAUCCGGCGCAGGCGGAGGAAAUUUGAUAGGAGCUGUCCUUAGUACGAGAGGACCGGGAUGGACGGACCGCUGGUGUAUCUGUUGUACUGCCAAGUGCAUCGCAGAGUAGCCAAGUCUGGAAGGGAUAAACGCUGAAGGCAUCUAAGCGUGAAGCCCCCCUAAAGAUAAGAUUUCCCAUACCGAAAGGUAGUAAGACCCCUUGAAGACGACGAGGUAGAUAGGGCAGAGGUGGAAGUGUGGUAACGCAUGGAGCUGACUGUUACUAAUCGGUCGAGGCUUUAACCU